rnacentral:lncRNA from 1 species
ACAAACAUAAACAUACGAAGGGCUGAGUACAAGAGUACUCAGUGGGCAGUGCCAAGCAUAUAACAUAAUAUCAACAACAAAACACAACUUCGCAUAAGAGGCAUAAGUUUCUUUCAUAUCAUUUGCUCAUUAAACAUUUCCAAAUUCAUAAAUAGCAUAAGGGCAUUCUUCAUCAUCAACAAUCAUAAACAAGCAUCGUGUCGUGGAGAAGGCCUUCCCCAACGAACACGGGCAUCGCACCGUGAAGGGGGCCUCCCUCAGCGGUCACGGCAUCGUACUAUUGAGGGAGGCCUCCCCCAAUAGACGCUGUAACACUGGCAUACUGGCAUACUGGCAUCGCGCCGCUAGGGAGGCCUCCCUCAGCGGACACGGGCAUCGCGCCGUGAGGAAGGCCCUCCUCAGCGGACACGGCAUCGUACUGUUGAGGGAGGCCUCCCCCAACAGACGCAAGCAUCAAACAUAAGCAUAAACUUAUCAGCGUAAAGCAUUCAAGCGUAAAUAAGCGUAAUCAAGCGUAAAUCAUUUAGCGUAAAGCAUAAUAAAGCAUACCACACUUGAAGAUCCAAUUUGCAUUUUAAAGCAUAACACAUGCAUAGCAUUUUAUUUACGCGUAAGAAAUUGCCCACCUGAUAGCAAAGUUU